GGACGUGAGGUGAGAUGGGGCCGGGUGUGGAGCGGGGAGCAGCUGGUGGGUGCUUUGCACCCAUCAAAUAUUCCCCAUGGGUGCUCCAGCCCCUGAGCACCCAGGGAGUCGGCGCCUAAGGUGCCACUUUUGAUGUGAUCAGUGGGGGGAGUGGUUUCUUCCCCUGCUUCCCCCUAGCUACACUCCCCCGCCCCUAGGAGCCAGAGGAACCUGCUGGAUGCUUCCUGAGAGCUGCCCCAGGGAAGUGAGGUCACACAGUAUGGCGGCUCGGGCCCGGAGACGCUGAGGAGAUCCGUGACUCUGGGGAAUCCGCGUCCAUCCGACGGGGAGCGGCGCCGCCCGCUCGUCUCACUGGUUUCGAGCGGCGGGACUAGGGGCUGCAAUGGUCACAGGAGUUGCUAGGCUCUGAACUGGCAUCCGUGAAGCUGACUUGCGGGGCCAGAGCAGCCGAACUGGGCCGCUGUCAUGGAGCUGAGAGUCGGGAACCGAUACCGGCUGGGCCGGAAGAUCGGGAGCGGUUCUUUCGGGGAUAUUUACCUAGGAACAGACAUUGCUGCUGGUGAAGAGGUUGCCAUCAAAUUGGAAUGUGUGAAAACCAAGCAUCCUCAGCUCCACAUAGAGAGUAAAAUCUACAAAAUGAUGCAGGGAGGAGUGGGUAUUCCCACAAUUAAAUGGUGUGGAGCUGAAGGAGACUAUAAUGUAAUGGUGAUGGAGUUGUUGGGACCAAGUCUUGAAGAUCUAUUCAAUUUUUGUUCAAGGAAAUUCAGUCUGAAGACAGUCCUGUUGCUUGCUGACCAAAUGAUUAGUCGAAUUGAAUAUAUCCACUCUAAGAACUUCAUCCACCGAGAUGUAAAACCUGAUAACUUCCUGAUGGGUUUGGGAAAGAAAGGCAAUCUGGUCUACAUAAUAGACUUUGGGUUAGCCAAGAAGUAUCGGGAUGCUCGAACUCACCAGCACAUUCCAUAUCGUGAAAAUAAAAACUUAACAGGAACUGCCCGUUAUGCAUCUAUAAACACUCAUCUUGGAAUCGAGCAGUCUCGUAGAGACGACUUGGAGUCCUUGGGCUAUGUACUGAUGUAUUUUAACCUGGGCUCCCUCCCGUGGCAGGGACUGAAGGCAGCAACAAAAAGACAGAAAUAUGAACGUAUCAGUGAAAAGAAAAUGUCUACACCCAUUGAGGUUUUGUGUAAAGGAUAUCCUUCUGAGUUUGCUACAUACCUGAAUUUCUGCCGCUCUUUGCGUUUUGAUGACAAACCAGACUAUUCUUAUCUAAGACAGUUAUUCAGAAACCUGUUCCACCGACAAGGCUUCUCCUAUGACUAUGUAUUUGACUGGAACAUGCUCAAAUUUGGUGCAAGCAGAGCUGCUGAAGAUGCUGAACGUGAAAGAAGAGAACGAGAGGAAAGAUUGAGACAUACACGAAAUCCUGCAGUACGUGGUUUACCCUCCACUGCUUCUGGGAGGCUGAGGGGAACGCAAGACGUAGCUCCACCUCCUCCCCUUACUCCAACUUCGCAUACUGCUAAUGCCUCUCCUCGGCCAGUGUCUGGAAUGGAGCGAGAACGGAAAGUGAGCAUGAGACUGCAUCGUGGUGCCCCUGUCAAUAUCUCUUCGUCUGAUUUAACAGGCCGCCAAGAUACUUCUCGCAUGUCAACUUCACAGAAUAGCAUUCCCUUCGAACAUCAUGGCAAGUAGCUGCUCGUCUCCUCGUUGGAAGGCAGCACUGGAGGUCAUUUCCUGUGUUAACCUUAAUACAGAAGGAAAAUGCAGAUAACAUGAUGUGGCUACAGAUUCCUGCUCGUGUGACUACCAGUGUUCUCCAGUCUGCUGUGCACCGAUGAAAAUAAUUUUGCCAUAGAGGGCAGUUAAUGCAUGGCUGAUCGCCUAUGUUACCAAUGGCUUUACUAGCAAAAAUACCCCAACCUAGAGCAGAAACAUUACAACUGGAGCUUUCCAUGCCACUUACAAAGAGAUACUUGCAGGAACCUGGACAGACUCCAACAGCUGCCAUUAAAAGAGGCUCUUGCCAGAAACCCAAUGACCUUAAGUGAACUCUGUAGUAACAGGGCUGGAAAAGGAAGAGAUGGUUUACAGAGUUAAUCGCCUGUUAUUGAAUAGCCAUUUCAGUUCUCCCUCCACAGGCGGCAGACUUUACCCCUUUUUAUUAUUCUACUGUAACUAUAAAUCUUUUACCUGGUUGGUUUAAGAAAAUUUUAUAUCAUUUUGCUAAGAUUAUUGGCUUAAUUCUGUGUAAAGAAUUCUGUCUUGCUUUUGUCUGAUUUAAAAAUGUCAUAUAUGAACAAUCCUGAAUUAAAGACAAUGACUUGAAAUUUCUUGUAAAGUUUAGUCUGGCAGGGAAUAUGUAAAUUAAUUAAAACCAUCUGAUUUUAUUUAAACUGUUUACUUUUUUUGGUAUAGUCCCAUUCAGGAUGAGGGGUGGGGGAGUUCUCCUGAAAGUUUUUUAACAUGCAUUAUAGUUUUAUUACUUUGCUUCUUCCACAUUUUAAUGGAAAUCUCCAUGCAACACAAACAUUUUUGAAUUUUUACUCUUCUAUAGUAUAGUCAGAGAAAGCAAAAGAUACUGGAUAGAUGUGUCUGGGCUCUUUAGAGAUGGUGAUAUUGAAAGAUAACUUAUUCCUAAAGAAUGUGAAGAAUAAAGAGGGAGAAGGGCUCUGAUAUUUAAGAGGAAUUUGUUGGAGUUUAGAGAUGGUAAGCAUGGCAUGUGGUUCUCCUUCAUUUGAGGAGGAGGAUUGUGUAUAAAACACUCUUCCUUGGUAAGAUCUAGUUUUCUACAUUGAGACUGGCUGGUUUAAAGACCAUUGCAAGUGGCACAAGAAUUACUGCCAUUGCAGACUGAGUGAAUUUGUGUACAGUUGCUUCAUCAUCCACAUUCAUAAAAAACAAGUGAUUCUGGUCGGCUGUGUAUUGCCAAGACACAAAAAGGAAUUAUAAACAAAAUAUUCCUGCUGUGAAAUCCUGAGAACUGAUUAUCAGGCAUGAAUUACAUUCUUAAUAUAAUAUAAAUUGUAUAUUUCUGGGAUUGCUAUUCUUUAUCUGGAGUUAAAUGACUUGUUCAUAUGCCUAGAAUGUCCAAAAUAAAAAGUGCUCUUGGCAGAUGUCCCUAUUAAGGAAUAUGGAAGGAUCUUUAUAUUGUUUCUAACUUAAAAGAUUUUCCUAAAGUGAUGCUAAAUAUUUUAUCCUUGCAGUAACUAGAAAAGUUGAAUUAUUAGUCAUAUUCAAGCAAAGUAAUGUCAAUUUCCCUCUUGAAAAUGAAAGUGCAAUACAUAAGUGUUGUUUGAAAGAUUCCGUCCUAUUUGGAAACAUAGGCUAAAAACAAAUCCAUUAAUGUUUUCCUUGUGCCUCAAACUUUUUUAGCAUAGUUGUUGUUCCAGAGUUUUGUAAAUUCUUUUUCUAUCCAAAAUCCACGGACUAAAUCUGUCAGUCACUUUUCUUGAGAUAUUUCAGAAUGCUAACUAAUUGCUUGUGCUUGCUCUAGAUUUCACUGGGGGAAACCUUUGUUUCAGGGGAGUGCAAUGGAAAGGUUUAAAAGUUUUGUCCAUGGAUAAUUUUGCAUAACAGAAUCCCCUACUCAGUUACUGUAGAUUUCAGGACUUAAGGCAUGUGCACUACCAUUUGUACAGUUCUACAUUUCACUGUGCUUUCUUUGUAAAUAUGUGUGGUUAAUGAUAUAAUGUUAGAGAGACUUAGAAAGGCAGCCUUUUUUUCCCGUCCUCUGUAUCCGGAACCUUAAAUUGCUGUACUGUACUUAAAAGCUGACUGAUGCAAAUUUCUAGAAUUGUACUUGGUUGUGGGCUGUUCUUGCCCUUUCACAAUAGUUAUAUCCCAUCACCUGCAAAAAAUAGUUAGAAAGUCUGUAUAAACCUGUGUAUUGGUAACCAAUAUCUCAGAACACCUCAUUUGUACUAUCACUGUAUUUGUGUACUUUACCAAUUGUGUAAAUAAUAAAUUCAUAAUGACUUCUA